GUGAGGAACCUGCCUCAAAGAGGGGGACAACAGUUGGAAACGACUGCUAAUACCGCAUAAGCCCACGGUGCCGCAUGGCACAGAGGGAAAAGGAGCAAUCCGCUUUGAGAUGGCCUCGCGUCCGAUUAGCUAGUUGGUGAGGUAACGGCCCACCAAGGCAACGAUCGGUAGCCGGACUGAGAGGUUGAACGGCCACAUUGGGACUGAGACACGGCCCAGACUCCUACGGGAGGCAGCAGUGGGGAAUAUUGCACAAUGGGGGAAACCCUGAUGCAGCGACGCCGCGUGGAGGAAGAAGGUCUUCGGAUUGUAAACUCCUGUUGUUGGGGAAGAUAAUGACGGUACCCAACAAGGAAGUGACGGCUAACUACGUGCCAGCAGCCGCGGUAAAACGUAGGUCACAAGCGUUGUCCGGAAUUACUGGGUGUAAAGGGAGCGCAGGCGGGAAGACAAGUUGGAAGUGAAAUCUAUGGGCUCAACCCAUAAACUGCUUUCAAAACUGUUUUUCUUGAGUAGUGCAGAGGUAGGCGGAAUUCCCGGUGUAGCGGUGGAAUGCGUAGAUAUCGGGAGGAACAC
rnacentral:rRNA from 1 species